AACGCACAUUGCGCCCGCCAGUAUUCUGGCGGGCAUGCCUGUUCGAGCGUCAUUUCAACCCUCAAGCCCAGCUUGGUGUUGGGGCAUUGCGGCUCGUCCGCAAGCCCUGAAAAUCAGUGGCGGGCUCGCCGUAACUCCGAGCGCAGUAGUUCAUUCUCGCUCUGGAAGAGUGGCGGGUGCCGGCCGUUAAACCCCCAAAUGUCUAAAGGUUGACCUCGGAUCAGGUAGGAAUACCCGCUGAACUUAA
rnacentral:misc_RNA from 1 species